AGAGCGAUUGGGAAAUGUAUACGGCCUAGCCAGGCCUAGCUCAUCAUUAGGAAAUGGGAGAAGGUGUAGCUUCCCAAAGGAGGAGCUCAGCAGUGGAGGAGGGAAAAAAAGGGAAGAAAGAUGCUCCAAUUCAUCUACUGAGAAAAAGACGUAGAAAAGGAAGUGAGCAUGAGCAAGUUAAUGUCGCACCAUUCUAAGAAACUGUGCUCCAGAAACUGAUUUUCAAAUUUGCUUGAAGGGUGAUUGUCAAAGAGACCACCAAACAACCAACAGAAGCGAGGCAAGAUUUUAUUUACGGCCGGGCCAAACCUGAUC